rnacentral:rRNA from 1 species
UAACCUGCCUAUUAGAGGGGGAUAACUAUUGGAAACGAUAGCUAAUACCGCAUAACAGUAUGUAACACAUGUUAGAUGCUUGAAAGAUGCAAUUGCAUCGCUAGUAGAUGGACCUGCGUUGUAUUAGCUAGUAGGUAGGGUAAUGGCCUACCUAGGCGGCGAUACAUAGCCGACCUGAGAGGGUGAUCGGCCACACUGGGACUGAGACACGGCCCAG